GACGAACGCUGGCGGCGUGCUUAACACAUGCAAGUCGAACGCUGAAGCUCAGCUUUUGUUGGGUGGAUGAGUGGCGAACGGGUGAGUAACACGUGAGUAACCUGCCUCCUUCUUUGGGAUAACGCCCGGAAACGGGUGCUAAUACUGGAUAUUCACUGGUCUUCGCAUGGGGGUUGGUGGAAAGGGUUUUUCUGGUGGGGGAUGGGCUCGCGGCCUAUCAGCUUGUUGGUGGGGUGAUGGCCUACCAAGGCUUUGACGGGUAGCCGGCCUGAGAGGGUGACCGGUCACAUUGGGACUGAGAUACGGCCCAGACUCCUACGGGAGGCAGCAGUAGGGAAUAUUGCACAAUGGGCGCAAGCCUGAUGCAGCGACGCCGCGUGAGGGAUGGAGGCCUUCGGGUUGUGAACCUCUUUCGCUCAUGGUCAAGCCGCAACAAUGGUUGUGGUGAGGGUAGUGGGUAAAGAAGCGCCGGCUAACUACGUG
rnacentral:rRNA from 1 species